UGCUUUGGUGCCACGUGUCCUGGGUGUCUGUCUGUCUAUCUAUCUGUGAGAGGUGGCUAGCACUAAGCUAGGAAUGGUGUUUGCUGCUCUUUCCAAAACGAUUUUUGCAUGUUUCUCUUUUCUCUGGGCUCAGCCAUGCUUUUGUUCUGUGGUUGUGUCACAAUGCCCGGGGUUGGGAGCUCCCACGUCUCUGCCUGCCCUGGGGAAAGGGAAGAGGGCUUUGUUCCUUCUUUCACAUCUCUAUUACUCUGUGUGUGCUGCUAUGCAGUGAUGCUUGGACACUGCCUCAGUUGCUGUGGGGUGUGUUUUGCCCGUUUCUGACUGGUAGGAGUGCAGGACAGAAGCAAGGCAACGGCACUGAGCUCUGCCCCAAGCUGGAACCAGCCCAGAGGCAGCAGGAAGGUGGAGGAGGAGAUGGAGGAUGAGCAGUGGUCUGCCCAUUACUGUGGGGCUGUGCUCUGCAGCACCCAGCAACGCUCAGAACUGAUGCAUUAAAAACACCUUCAAAAAGCAGCUCUUUAAUGGGAGAGAUGCGCUUGCCGAGAGCUGGCUGCUUUCAGAAACUGCGGUGAGCUUCAAUGCAACAGCACAGCGUGAUUGAAGGAGGGGGAGCAGUGACGAUGGGAUUAG
ensembl:lncRNA